rnacentral:rRNA from 1 species
AUUGAACGCUGGCGGCAGGCUUAACACAUGCAAGUCGAGCGGGGUGAUGGUGCUUGCACUAUCACUUAGCGGCGGACGGGUGAGUAAUGCUUAGGAAUCUGCCUAUUAGUGGGGGACAACAUCUCGAUAGGGGUGCUAAUACCGCAUACGUCCUACGGGAGAAAGCAGGGGAUCACUUGUGACCUUGCGCUAAUAGAUGAGCCUAAGUCGGCUUCGCUAGUUGGCGGGGUAAAGGCCUACCAAGGCGACGAUCUGUGGCGGGUCUGAGAGGAUGAUCCGCCACACGGGGACUGAGACACGGCCCAGACUCCUACGGGAGGCAGCAGUGGGGAAUAUUGGACAAUAGGGGGAACCCUGAUCCAGCCAUGCCGCGUGUGUGAAGAAGGCCUUAUGGUUGUAAAGCACUUUAAGCGAGGAGGAGGCUCUUUUGGUUAAUACCCAAGAUGAGUGGACGUUACUCGCAGAAUAAGCACCGGCUAACUCUGUGCCAGCCGCCGCGGUAAAAC